UACGAAGGGGGCUAGCGUUGCUCGGAAUCACUGGGCGUAAAGCGCACGUAGGCGGCUUUUUAAGUCAGGGGUGAAAUCCGUGGAGCUCAACUCCAGAACUGCCUUUGAUACUGGGAAGCUUGAGUCCGGGAGAGGUGGGUGGAACUCCGAGUGUAGAGGUGAAAUUCGUAGAUAUUCGGAAGAACACCAGUGGCGAAGGCGGCUCACUGGCUCGUAACUGACGCUCAUGCACGACAGCGUGGGGAUCAAACAGG
rnacentral:rRNA from 1 species